rnacentral:rRNA from 1 species
AGCAGCCGCGGUAAUUCCAGCUCCAAUAGCGUAUAUUAAAGUUGUUGCAGUUAAAAAGCUCGUAGUUGAAUUUCGGGGUCAGUAGGAUGGUCGUGCCAAUGGUAUGUACUGGCUUUACUGAUUCCUCCUUCUUGAAGAACUGUAAUGCCAUUAAUUUGGUGUUGCAGGGAAUCAGGACUGUUACUUUGAAAAAAUUAGAGUGUUUAAAGCAGGCUUACGCUUGAAUACAUUAGCAUGGAAUAAUGAAAUAGGACGUUGAUCUUAUUUUGUUGGUUUCUAGGAUUGACGUAAUGAUUAAUAGGGAUAGUUGGGGGCAUUAGUAUUCAAUUGUCAGAGGUGAAAUUCUUGGAUUUAUUGAAGACUAACUACUGCGAAAGCAUUUGCCAAGGAUGUUUUCAUUAAUCAAGAACGAAAGUUAGGGGAUCGAAGACGAUCAGAUACCGUCGUAGU